CAGCAAGGACAUUGAGGCCCCAUUGAGGUGGCGCCAGGCACACGCUCCUUCUUGGCCACCUGCUUACCCCUGGGGGACAUGAAUGGCCCUCAGAGAACUCGCCUCCCUCCUGGACCUCUUCUCAGACUUGCUCCCUGGCUGGUGUGAGGUGCUGGGAAAGGCCUCUUGUGCCUGGAACCUGCUGGUUGGGGGUGGCCUAUCAGCCAGUUCUGGAAAGGCCUGUGCACUGGAGCUGCCUGUUGUGAGCCAGUCCUUGUAAAGCUGCCUGUCACACAUCGUUUCUCCUUCAGUGAAAGGAACACUUUCCUUCAUUGCAGACACUGCCCUCAUUGAGCUGGAGUGCGAGGCUCCUGAGAUCUUGGUUCCCUAGGUGUCAACUUGAGAUAAGACCCAGUAAAUCUCUGGUAAAAGCAUGGCAAGAAAUAAAUUGAGAAGUAGACAGCCUCAAGCCAAGGACUCCUUGAAAGGCACUGGAAAAUCCACUUCUUCAUUGGGUUCAGAGAUGAGCUAACCCGGACCUCAACAGCGCCUGUCCGGAGCAGUGAGUCUUCUGCACGUCCUUUGCUUCAAGGUUACAACUUGGUGAAAGUUAACCGGAAGGAAGAGUGACAAGCAGAGACACACUUGACCUUCCUAACUGCGAGGAACCCUGUUCCGGGGGCAGUUGAGAUCUGUGGAGCGUCUUUGGUGCAGCCUUCCAGGGUGUCCUGUUUAAGGACAGCCUCCCAGGGGUUCCCCACACUGGCUCCCAGGCGCACACGGUCAGCACGGUCAGCACGUGGGGCUUCCUGUGCACUGAGAGCCAGGGUGUAUGAGUUUCCAUGAAGCUCGGUGUCAGGGCCCAGCUGAGAAGCGGCCCCAGCUGCUGUGCACCGAAACUCUAACAGCCAAAGGGAUGAACUGAAUGUGCAAAAUCCAAGCUGUGCUUCUGUGUGUUGGUGACAAUCCUGGUGGACCCAUUGGACCCUAGGAUGGCAUGGUGCAAUAAGGAGUUAGGAUCCAGGACUUUCCAUCCUUGGCAAGUACUCCACCUACCUGAGCAUCUUUCCCUUCUUAUAAAGCAAGGUGUGUGACAAGUUUAAUGGUGUUGAAUAUAGGCGAUAAUAAUGAGGCUAAGGUUAGCCAAGAUCACAAUGACAGCAAGGAAGGCCAUUUUGGUAUUUCCUGGGUCUUCAUGGUAUUCUUCUCAGCUUACAAAGACUCCCUAGUGGACUUCCUCACAUCAUUCCUAGAAGAGGAGCUGGGGCCAGAGACCCCACACUGGCUGGUUUUCUAUCAUUCAGUGGGGAGCAGGUUCGGGGCUGGUCCUGAGAGGCACCCUCAAGAAGCGCAUGAAUAGCUGCCAUGUUCACCAACAGCUUUGAGUUUCAUUAGGAAGCUGGGCAACACCUUGGCCAAGACUGCAGUACCAUUAAGUGCCACCUCCAGCUCUUCCCGGCCCCGUGGUGGCUCCCACUUCUACUUGACCUUCAUAGGUCAACGCUUCCAUGAUAAGUACCAAGGCUCUCCAGUUCCCCCCUGCCUCCAUGUGCCACACUCUUUUCUGACAUUCUUUCACUUUGUGCAGCUUUUAUCUCUGUCUUUGACUUGACUUAUGAGAAAACAGAAAUAGGUUCAGGACCUUGCAAUGCCCCACUGCAAAUACCCGUGAGGACUGGAGGGGAACUGACCUCUGUUCACGUCUGAGCCCACAGGCGUGACCCACACUGCGAGGGCGAGCCUAAGAGGAGAGUGGGUGUGGCAGGACGUGGCAACUGCUGUGUCCAAAGUGGGUGAGAGAGGGGUAAGUCCCAGGCCUCCAGGCUGGCUUAUCACUGCAGAUGAAACAGGAGGUUGGGAAGCAGAGUGGCUCUCCAUGCCUUGGCUUAUAAACCCUGCAAAUGUCUCGGCCUCUAGCUUUUUACCCUCCCCUUCCUGAGCUGUGAAUGCCUUGCUUUGUCUCUCCUCGAUUUUCAAAACUAGUUGUUUUGUUGAGUGCAAACCACUUUUCAAUAAACCACCCUGCUUCUUGGGAAAUGGACUCAGGAAAGUUCUGGAAUCCUGAGAAGGUAUCUAGGGACAGGCUGCUGUAAGAUUCUGGCUCUGUGGACACUGGGGGAUAUGUGCUUGUCCUGGGAAGGUCCACUUACCAUGCACGCCCUCUCUGGUUCCCCAAAUACUGGAAAGCCAUGUUCACCUGGGCU